CCCCUCUCAAUGUCGCGUCUGGAGAGUUUCCAGUAAUCUACCAGUCUUGAUUAUGGGAGGAAGAGUCAAGCAGAGGCCUGUCCAUUCCAUUCCUAGCUUGGCCAGUGGCUAGUGAGUGGAAGGCCAUCUGCUACAAGG